CCGGUACUCCCUCCGUCCGGAAAUACUUGUCAUUGAAAUGGAUGUAUCUAGAUGUAUUUUAGUUGUAGAUACAUCCAUUUUGAUGACAAGUAUUUCCGGACGGAGGGAGUAUCAU
rnacentral:pre_miRNA from 1 species